AUUGAACGCUGGCGGCAGGCUUAACACAUGCAAGUCGAGCGGGGUGAUGGUGCUUGCACUAUCACUUAGCGGCGGACGGGUGAGUAAUGCUUAGGAAUCUGCCUAUUAGUGGGGGACAACAUCUCGAAAGGGAUGCUAAUACCGCAUACGUCCUACGGGAGAAAGCAGGGGAUCACUUGUGACCUUGCGCUAAUAGAUGAGCCUAAGUCGGAUUAGCUAGUUGGUGGGGUAAAGGCCUACCAAGGCGACGAUCUGUAGCGGGUCUGAGAGGACGAUCCGCCACACUGGGGCUGAGACACGGCCCAGACUCCUUCGGGAGGCAGCAGUGGAGAAUAUUGGACAAUGGGGGGAACCCUGAUCCAGCCAUGCCGCGUGUGUGAAGAAGGACUUAUGGUUGUAAAGCACUUUAAGCGAGGAGGAGGCUCUUUUGGUUAAUACCCAAGAUGAGUGGACGUUACUCGCAGAAUAAGCACCGGCUAACUCUAUGCAAGCCGCCGCCGUAA
rnacentral:rRNA from 1 species